GCAGCAGGAGCUUCUGCGCCUUUUUUCUCUGUUCUUCAGUUCUUUCGAUUCUCGUUCUCUUCUCAUCGACUCAACCACGUCCUCUCUAUACAUGAAAUCCUUCAUUUCUACGAGAUCGUCGUCGCCGUACAACACGUCUCCCAGGUAUUCCUCACACUCUCUCAUCCUUCUGUCACAAAACCCUCGCACUUCUCUCUAUGAUCUUCUUCUCUCUAUGAUCUUCUUCGCACUUUUGGCUAUUAUCUUCUUUGCACUUUUCGCUACGAUCUUCUUUGCACUUUUCGCUACGAUCUUCUUCGCACUCUCAACCUUCAUUCCUUACUGUUAUUUAUAUGUGGCUUUGUUAUCUUUUUGUACACAGAUGAUAUAUGAUAUGCAAAAUCUUAACAGAAAAACUUUAAUCAAAUCACAGAGAAUCAACAGAGCAUGAAUCUGGUUUCACUUUAGAAAGAUACAUAAAUUCUAUCAUUAUCUUACUUUUAUAAAUUAAUUCAAGUUAUAGUUUCAUUGUUUUUUUGUUUAAGAUAAAAGAUAACAUAUUAAAAGGUACUAGUAUGUGUUUGUUAGUUAUAGCUUUUAUCAUUUGUGUGUGUAAUUUAUACUAUAAAUAAUAUUGUACUUUUUAUAAAUUCUAACGUGUUGUAUAUUUAUAAAUGUUUUAGUUAUUAUAGAUUUUAGUAUGAUAAUUAUUAAAUCUAUAAUAAUAUAUAAAGAGAUAUACCUCUUUAUAUAUAUAAUUUAUUAUAGUUUUAUUCCCUAAAUAUUUAUUUUUUUAAAUUCAAAUGAUUUAUUCACAAUAAAAAAAUUAUUUAAUUUAUAAUUUUUUAAUAAAAAUAUUUUAUAAUUAAUAAUAUAUUUUUAUUUGAAUAGUUAUUAUACUAAUAAUAAUUUUUUUGUCAAGAGAAAAAAGUGUAAAGUAUUUACAUUAUUCAUUUUUAAUAAAUAAAACUGAUUUAUUUUAAAAUAAUUAAAUAACAUUUAUUUAGAAAUAAUGGCUAUAUAUAUAAUAAUUUGUCUGUUAAUAUAUAUAUACUUUGUCCUUUAAUAAAUAAAAUGUAGAUGUUUAUUAAUACAAAUUAAAAAAAAAAUUAAAAUAUUUUAUACAUUUAUCGGAUAAAAGAUAUUAUUAUUUAUUUAAUAAAAUAAAUAGUUAAGUAAAUUCCUUUAUUUUAAAAUAACCAAAUAAUUUAUCUUUUUAAAAAAACGGCUACAUAUAAAUUUUUCAUAUUAUAGUUUUUAUAUAUGUCACAACAUUAUCUUUAAUACUAUUGUUUUUAUGUGUUACAACAUUAGCCGUAGUCCCACUUAAUAUAUCUUUAAGAAUAACAUCAAGUUGUUCCCUAGAUAUACUUCAGCAUGUUAUAUUGUAACACUUACAAUAUUUUAUUUCCUAUUCAAAGCAUUUUUUAAAAUACUUUAUACAUUUAUCAUAUAAAAACAGAAUAUUUUUAUUUAUUUAAUAAAAUAGAUAAUUGCAUAAUUUCUUUUAUUUCAAAAUAAUAAAAUAAUUUAUCUUCUUAAAAAUAACGGUCACAUAUAUAUUUGUCACAACAUUUAUUAUAGCCACAUCUAAUACAUAUGAAGCAUAACAACAAGAUUUUCAUCUAAUAUACUUCAACAUGAUGAAUAUACAUGUUGGUAGUCUCUUCCCAAAUUUUACAGCACUUAUAAAUAUCAGAGAAAUAUAAAUAAAUUAUUAAAAUAUCACAAAUUAAAUUUUAAUGGCAAAAGUAUCCUAUUGACAUUUAUUCUCUCAAUAAAUAUUAAAAAUUUAUUAUGGGAGUAUAAUUUUUUUUUUAAAAAUAUCCUGGCUUGCAUAGAGUACAGAUUAUAGAACAAUUCGGAGAGUGUAGCAUACUUUAUGAUCCUUACAAUCAUUACAAGAUCACAAUUUUGCAUGCAUUGAAAAUGGAUAAAUGAAAUUGAACCUACAAGAUUACAUAAAGUUGAUUACAUGAUAAACCAAACAAAAAAUAAUGUUGAGAUCUAGAAUUUAUAUGUAAUUUAUAAGAACUACAAUUUUUAUAAUGAAUUCAUUUAUUAAAUUAUAUAUAUAUAUUACAAUUUGUAAUUAGUUUUAUGAAUUUAUCAUAUAUUAAACUGAAAAAAAUAUAAUUGUUAUAAAUUUAUAAAUAACAACAUUACAUUAAAAAUAUUUAAAAAAAAAUGUAAACGGAUUCUGCUACUUACAAACAAAUCACUUUUAAAAUUUACACAUCUCACCAGGUUAGGUGAAAAGUAGUUACAGUAGACAGUUUGUUGUAAUAUCUUUUUACCAGGUAGAAGAAUCAAUAAUUUAAGCAUCCUUCAUAAUCAAACAAUGAUAAUGAGUACUUUCUUAUAAUCAAAGCAGAGGAAACAGUAACCCAAUAGUGAUGUGAAUGCUUCAAAAGGAUGAACCUAGGUCUAAAAUUUGAUGUUAAGCAGAGGAAUUGAAGAAGAGCAACAAAGUGAUUGGUAUAUAUAAUUGGUAAAGGGUGAACAGAAAGAAAAGUAAUUUACAGAGUAUGAUGAAGAUUGGGAAUGAAAAGUAAGAAAACGAAAAGCAGAAGGUAUUUUACAAAGUGAAGAAUGUCAG
rnacentral:lncRNA from 1 species